rnacentral:rRNA from 1 species
UUAAAUGGCCGCAGUAUUUUGACUGUGCAAAGGUAGCAUAAUCAUUAGUUUCUUAAUUAGAAGCUGGAAUGAAAGGUUGAACGAAAAAAUAACUGUCUCUUUAUAAAUUUAUUAGAAUUUUAUUUUUAAGUUAAAAAGCUUAAAUAUGUUUAAAAGACGAGAAGACCCUAUAGAGUUUUAUAUAAUUUUUUAUAAAAAAUUUAUUUAUAAUUAUAAGAAUUUUAUAAUUGAUUAUAUUUGAUUGGGGUGAUUGAAAAAUUUAAUAAACUUUUUUUUUAGUUAAACAUUUUUAUAUGAUUAAUUGAUCCAUUAUUUAUGAUUAAAAGAUUAAAUUACCUUAGGGAUAACAGCGUAAUUUCUUUUUAGAGUUCUAAUCGAUAAAGAAGUUUGCGACCUCGAUGUUGGAUUAAAAUAUAGUUUUGGUGUAGAAGCUAAAAUAUUAGGUCUGUUCGACCUUUAAAAUUUUACAUGAUCUGAGUUUAAACCGGUGUAAGCCAGGUUGGUUUCUAUCUUUAAAUAAUUAAAAUAUUUUAGUACGAAAGGACCAAAUAUUUAGAAAAUUUUUAUAAUAUUGAAUAAUAUUAAUUU